CAAUAUUAUCACUAAAAAUUUCUACUAAAGUUUCAUAAUUAGUACAUGUAUGAUAUGCACUUUCCUAUAACGUACAUAUUAAGCAAGUAGAAAAGUGCAGGAUAUGUGCAUGUAAUAUUUUGUUUGUGAAAAAAUGUUAAAAAACAAAAAAUGACCAUAUUCCAUGUAAAUAAGUGAUGGAUCAAAUUUUAGUUCUGUUGUCAUUAAAGUUCUUUUAAACAAUUAAUUUUUAAAAAAUAAAAUAAAAAUGAAAUUGGACUGCGAGGCAUAUUUAUCAGUUGUAAAACAAAGCAGUCGUGGCAUUAAAAUUUAUCCGAAAGAUACAUAAGGAUAUGUGAUAUCAGUACAUUAAUACUUUCAUGAAACUACUUAUUCAUGUAUAGAUUUACCAUGAAUGACCGAUAGAUGUUCACUAGCACCAGUCACGGUUUUUUGUACAUUAUAAUGAUUUUUGAGAAUGUAGCACAUACAUUGUAACUCCCACAGUGAACGAUUGCACUGAGCGAUGUUAUAUGUCCUUGUUAUUAUGAUAAUCAAGUCUACAACUUAUUGUAGAUAUGUAUAUCUAUUGUACAGAGAUAUUCACUUUGUUCCAAAAGAAACCUAAAUUUAGCACCUUGUUUUCCGAAGUGUUGGUUUUGUUAGAGUUAUCUCCCUGUUUUGUUUCCAUUUUUAACUGUUUUUGGUGUUGCACUUUAUUUUUAAAAAAUAUCAAAAACAACUAUUAUUGUUUUGUUGUAUGUUACUUAAUGAUGUAAUUUUACCGGUAUUUUAUUUUUGAAAACAUUCUUAUUAUUCUUAUUUAUUGAAAGCUGCUUUUCAAAAUACCCUACCUUAUUAUUUAUUUCAUAUAUCUCGACGCAUUGUGUAGAUACAUGUAUACUUAUUUAUUAUCAUUAUGUAUUUUUGUUAUUACUUGUAACAAUUUAAUUACUCAGAGUUUGUCUUCGGAGUAUAUUUAACUUUUUAUGAUUGUAUGUUUUUUAACUCUCUUGCAUUUUUAAUAUCCACUUCUACAUUAAUUUUUACUUAUUUUGGAACAUGGAAAUUAAGUUUCAGGUGACACUUCUCCAUCUUUCCUGGUACAGGUAUUUUAAAUGAAAUGAUGAAAUUUGACAUCUCCACAAAACAUAUUUUAAAAUAUACAGUACAUGUGAUAGCUAAAUACAUACCCUAAGCUGAUACAUGAAAUAUUGUAUUUACUCAGUGAAAGCUGGUAAUUGCUACUUAUAACCCUUGAACUUGAUAGAUACAGCUUUUUAAAACAACAAUCAGAAAAAAAGGAAUAAUUUGUAUAGUCAUUAUUUGCAAUUUUAACAUUUGUUGGUAUUAAUUCGACAAUCUGAAUAUGAUUCUCUUGGAAAUGAUAUUAAGGAUGAUAUAUAUGCAAGUGUAAAUAACUCGCAUUUUAUAAUACAUGUAAUUAAUUUUGAAUCAGAAAGCGUUUCAUUUUAUCCCCUGUUGUCUAGCUGGAGAAUAAUACAACUUGUACAAAGUACAAAUUCUUUUCCCAAAACAAUUGAAUAUUCUUAUAUAUGAUUUAACACAUAUUCAAGUCAGUAAAAGAGAUUUUGGAUAUGAUAUUUAAAACUUAAUAAUGUACAUUGAUUUGAUUGAUAAAAUUUUGAUUAGUGAAAACUGUGUGAGAAUGUUUGGAAAAAAAAUUACAAUGUAUAUUACAGAAGCAAAUUUAAACCUGAAUUGUGUUAUGUUUCUGAAGUCUAGAAAAAGUAUGAGAGAAUGUAUGUAUGCCCAUGUAUAACUGCUAACAUGAAAAAGUGCUGGCAUAAAAUAUUCAUCGAUUAUUGUUUCUGUAAAAAAAAAUCACCGUAUACUUAUGUUGGUCAUAAUUAAGAUGUUUAUUUAUUUGAUCAGUCAGAUUAUUUAGUAUGUGUAUUAGGUGUGGUGUUAAGAGUAUUUGUUUGUUAGUUAUAGACCAGAAAUUAGAGAUUUGAUAGGGAAUGAAGGGAGAUCUCGUGAUAACUUACAUGUAGUUAUAAAAGUGUGAAAAUUAAAUUGCAGUGAAUCAUGAUUUGAAUAUUUUAUAAACAUCAUCAUUGAAUAUGGAAAUAUUGACAGUCAAAAUGUACUGAUUUGCAAAGGUAUUUUGACACUGCUCUUUCAAGAAUAUUUUUGUGAUAAUUUUUUAUUUUUAAAUCAUUUUUAGAUACAAUUUUUCUUAACAUGACCCACUCAGUUUGUCUGGGAUGGCAGUUUUAGUCCCAAAGUCAAUGAAAUUGUUGUAUACUUUGAAAUUACAGUACAUGUAUUUAAUGAAAUUGAAACUGAAUAAAAAGCGUGAAUCAAAUUC
rnacentral:sRNA from 1 species